ACUCCUACGGGAGGCAGCAGUGGGGAAUAUUGCACAAUGGGCGCAAGCCUGAUGCAGCCAUGCCGCGUGUAUGAAGAAGGCCUUCGGGUUGUAAAGUACUUUCAGCAGUGAGGAAGGCGGGGUACGUUAAUAGCGUGCCGUUUUGACGUUAGCUGCAGAAGAAGCACCGGCUAACUCCGUGCCAGCAGCCGCGGUAAUACGGAGGGUGCGAGCGUUAAUCGGAAUUACUGGGCGUAAAGCGCAUGCAGGUGGUUUGUUAAGUCAGAUGUGAAAGCCCGGGGCUCAACCUCGGAAUAGCAUUUGAAACUGGCAGACUAGAGUACUGUAGAGGGGGGUAGAAUUUCAGGUGUAGCGUGAAAUGCGUAGAGAUCUGAAGGAAUACCGGUGGCGAAGGCGGCCCCCUGGACAGAUACUGACACUCAGAUGCGAAAGCGUGGGGAGCAAACAGGAUUAGAUACCCUGGUAGGCUCU
rnacentral:rRNA from 1 species